rnacentral:rRNA from 1 species
GACGAACGCUGGCGGCGUGCUUAACACAUGCAAGUCGAACGGAAAGGCCCAGCUUGCUGGGUGCUCGAGGGGCGAACGGGUGAGUAACACGUGGGUGAUCUGCACCUGCCCUCGGGAUAAGCUUGGGCAACUGGGUCUGUUACCGGUACGGGCUAUCGUGUGGCGUCGGUUGUGUAAGGGUUUUUCGGGUAGGGAUGAGCGCGCGGCCUAUCAGCUUGUUGGUGGGGUAAUGGCCUAGCAAGGCGUCGACGGGUGGCCGGCCUGAGAGGGUGGGCGGCCACAGUGGGACUGAGAUACGGCCCAGACUCCUACGGGAGACAGCAGUGGGGAAGAUUGCACAAUGGGGGCAAGCCUGGUGCAGCGACGCCGCGUGGGGGAUGACGGCCUUCGGGUUGUAAACCUCUUGCGUCAGGGACGAAGCUUGGGUGACGGUAGCUGUAUAAGAAGCACCGGCUAACUACGUG